ensembl:lncRNA
CCAUCAUGAUUUGUUGAGCCACACCCAUCAUCCUCAGGCUGCCGUUUCAGCUCCAUCUCUGUCAGUGGUGUAGCUGUUAGGAUAACAGAACAAGUAUAUUUCAGUGUAAAACAGUCUUGUAUUAGCUGAAGUACAGAAUCAUUGUGAUAGCUACGAGUGUUCCAGGUUGAAUGAACAGUUCAGUGUAAAACUGUCUUGUAUUAGCUGAAGUACAGAAUCAUUGUGAUAGCUACGAGUGUUCCAGGUUGACUGAACAGUUCAGUCUGCUACAUCCUUCUCAAACAGUUCAUGGUUAUGAUAUUUCAGUUCAGUGUGGAACAGUCUUGUAUUAGCUGAAGUACAGAAUCAUUGUGAUAGCUACGAGUGUUCCAGGUUGACUGAGCAGUUCAGUCUGCUACAUCCUUCUCAAACAGUUCAUGUAUAUGAGGUUUCAUUAUAUAAUAUAAGAUAUUAAAACCAAAUAUUGAGUUUUACCUUCAGUCAUGGUUCUGUCCCUCUUUGCCAAUUUUUUGUCAAAUGUCACCAGCUCUUUCAGGUCCUCUGCCUGCGUUGAACCAGCUCUUUCAGCUCCUCUGCCUGCGUUGAACCAGCUCUUUCAGCUCCUCUGCCUGCAUUGAACCAGCUCUUUCAGGUCCUCUGCCUGCGUUGAACCAGCUCUUUCAGGUCCCCUGCCUGUGUUGAACCAGCUCUUUCAGGUCCUCUGCCUGCGUUGAACCAGCUCUUUCAGGUCCUCUGCCUGUGUUGAACCAGCUCUUUCAGGUCCUCUGCCUGCGUUGAACCAGCUCUUUCAGGUCCUCUGCCUGCGUUGAACCAGCUCUUUCAGCUCCUCUGCCUGCGUUGAACCAGCAGUCUGAGUACUGAAGUUUUCUCACAAACAAAGAAAGGAAUAUCCUGUGCAUCUGGCAGAAUGGAGGGGAGGUUCCUGCUUCCCUGGAUUGUCUACAGUUCUGACAAACAUGGCCUGUGUCCCAAACGGUACCUUAUUCCCUUUAUAGUCUGCUACUGUAGAGCAGGGCCCUAGUGCACUAUAUAGGAAACAGAGUGCCAUUUGGGAUGAACACGUGGACUGUUUCUCGAAACUUCCCCUACCCUCUGCAUCCCCUAGCUCCAAUCCCCCAGGGACUGGAGUAGAUCUGAAAGGCUUGGGUAGGUAUCAGCAGUAUGGUGGAUGUUCCACCUAACCUAUCAGAAGGCAAGGUAGAGUCACUACCAUGUUGCUUAUACCUGUCCAACUCCUCCAGAUCUACAGGAAGUAUGUAGGCUGAAGUAAUGAGGCUAGGGGUUGGUUGUAAGGACCAGGCUAGAGAUCAGGCUAGGGGUUGGUUGUAAGGGGCCAGGCUCUAGGGACCAGGCUAAGGGGCCAUGCCAAGGCAAGGCUAAGGGAGUGGAGACCCAAGAGGGUGGGUAGUGAUAAUGUAGGCCAAGUUCUGAAGAAUGAAUGACAGAUUUUAAUACAUAUAGAGUUGAUUCAACCACGUACAACAAUGCAUAUAGCUGUAGGAUCUUAAUUUAAUCACUGUUUUGUUGCUGAGAAUUUUCCUGCUUUGUGAUUAACAUAAAUGAACUGAAAACCCACACUAACAUGUGAUCAUAUUAACACUAUUUUACAGUACUGCAGUACUUUAGUCCAGCUAAUAGCCUAACCACCGAUCAAGCAACAUUAUCGACAAGGGGAUGGUCAUCUGAAUGUGGUUAGGAGACUCAACAUUGAUGAGAAGAGGUCAUCUGAAUGUGGUUAGGAGACUCAACAUUGAUGAGAAGAGGUCAUCUGAAUGUGGUUAGGAGACUCAACAUUGAUGAGAAGAGGUCAUC